AACGAACGCUGGCGGCAGGCCUAACACAUGCAAGUCGAACGCCCGUAGCAAUACGGGAGUGGCAGACGGGUGAGUAACGCGUGGGAACGUGCCCUUCGGUUCGGAAUAACUCAGGGAAACUUGAGCUAAUACCGGAUACGUCCGUAAGGAGAAAGAUUUAUCGCCGAAGGAUCGGCCCGCGUCGGAUUAGCUAGUUGGUGAGGUAACGGCCCACCAAGGCGACGAUCCGUAGCUGGUCUGAGAGGANGAUCAGCCACACUGGGACUGAGACACGGCCCAGACUCCUACGGGAGGCAGCAGUGGGGAAUAUUGGACAAUGGGCGAAAGCCUGAUCCAGCCAUGCCGCGUGAGUGAAGAAGGCCUUAGGGUUGUAAAGCUCUUUCAGCGGGAAGAUAAUGACGGUACCCGCAGAAGAAGCCCCGGCUAACUUCGUGCCAGCCGCCGCCGUAAG
rnacentral:rRNA from 1 species